GAUGAACGCUGGCGGCGUGCCUAAUACAUGCAAGUCGAGCGAACAGACGAGGAGCUUGCUCCUCUGACGUUAGCGGCGGACGGGUGAGUAACACGUGGAUAACCUACCUAUAAGACUGGGAUAACUUCGGGAAACCGGAGCUAAUACCGGAUAAUAUAUUGAACCGCAUGGUUCAAUAGUGAAAGACGGUUUUGCUGUCACUUAUAGAUGGAUCCGCGCCGCAUUAGCUAGUUGGUAAGGUAACGGCUUACCAAGGCAACGAUGCGUAGCCGACCUGAGAGGGGGAUCGGCCCCACGGGAACGAGAAAACGGCCAAAACCCCUAGGGGGGGCAGCAGGAGGAAAUCUUCCGCAAUGGGCGAAAGCCUGACGGGGCAACGCCGCGGGGGUGAGAAAGGUCUUCGGAUCGUAAAACUCUGUUAUUGGGGAAAAAAAAAGGUGUAAGUAACUAUGCACGUCUUGCGGGAACCUAAUAAGAAAGCCCCGGCUAAUUACGU
rnacentral:rRNA from 1 species